UACGUAGGGGGCAAGCGUUGUCCGGAAUCAUUGGGCGUAAAGAGCGUGUAGGCGGCCCGGUCAGUCCGCCGUGAAAGUCCAGGGCUCAACCCUGGAAUGCCGGUGGAUACUGCCGGGCUGGAGUCCGGAAGAGGCGAGUGGAAUUCCUGGUGUAGCGGUGAAAUGCGCAGAUAUCAGGAGGAACACCAAUUGCGAAGGCAGCUCGCUGGGACGUGACUGACGCUGAGACGCGAAAGCGUGGGAGCAAACAGG
rnacentral:rRNA from 1 species